rnacentral:tRNA from 1 species
GCGGGAGUAGUUCAGUGGUAGAACGGCAGCUUCCCAAGCUGCAUGUCGCGGGUUCGAUCCCCGUCUCCCGCUCCA